rnacentral:tRNA from 1 species
GCCGAAAUGGCGGAAUUGGCAGACGCAGCGGACUCAAAAUCCGCCGCCGUCAAAAGCGUGCGGGUUCGACUCCCGCUUUCGGCACCA